UAUUAAUAAGCGGANGAAAAGAAACCAACAGGGAUUCCCUUAGUAAGGGCGACUGAACUGGGAAGAGCCCAGCGCAUAACCUGGCGUCGUGACCCNGGCGCCAGGGGUGUUGCGUUUCGGAGGGUCCGGCACGCAGUCUCUCACCGCCUAAGUUAUGCUUGAAAGCGGCCACUACCCAUGGAGGGUGACAGGCCCGUGUGGCGGAGCCCGCGAGGGUACGCGAGAGAUUGUCGGAAAGGGCCUCUCCGUAGAGUCGGGUUGCUUGAGAAUGCAGCCCUAAGCAGGUGGUAAACUCCAUCUAAGGCUAAAUAUGACCACGAGACCGAUAGCCGAACAAGUACCGUGAGGGAAAGUUGAAA
rnacentral:rRNA from 1 species